AGUGAACGCUGGCGGCAGGCCUAAUACAUGCAAGUCGAACGGCAGCACAGCAGAGCUUGCUCUGUGGGUGGCGAGUGGCGGACGGGUGAGGAAUACAUAGGAAUCUGCCCAGUCGUGGGGGAUAACGUAGGGAAACUUACGCUAAUACCGCAUGCGCCCUUUGGGGGAAAGCCGGGGACCUUCGGGCCUGGCGCGAUUGGAUGAGCCUAUGUCUGAUUAGCUAGUUGGAGGGGUAAAAGCCCACCAAGGCGACGAUCAGUAGCUGGUCUGAGAGGAUGAUCAGCCACACUGGAACUGAGACACGGUCCAGACUCCUACGGGAGGCAGCAGUAGGGAAUAUUGGACAAUGGGCGCAAGCCUGAUCCAGCCAUGCCGCGUGAGUGAAGAAGGCCCUCGGGUUGUAAAGCUCUUUUGUUAGGGAAGAAAAGCAUUCGGUUAAUACCCGAGUGUACUGACGGUACUAAAGAAUAA
rnacentral:rRNA from 1 species